ensembl:lncRNA MIR7515HG MIR7515 host gene
UUCUGGAACCUGUUGCCUCCGUUUUCAACGUUUCCCAAACUUGGUCCGUUGUGUGAGCUGGCUGAUAAAAGUUCCAGGUAACCUUCCUUGUUCUCAAGGUCCAUUUUCCAGGAAAAUCUGAGUCAUGGUGCUGGGGAGGACACUUAAGUACAUCAGUCAAUCAGAUGAUUAUUAAAUUUAGGAAAUAGUAGAUCAACUGGAUUAACUGGAUUAAAAUGCAGAAUCCCAGGCCCCAGCCCAGACCUACUGAACCAGCAUCUGCUCUUUAACAAGAGCCCCAUGUGAUGUGUGGGACAGAAAACUUUGUGAAGCACAGGGCUAGACAGUCUCUAAAGUCUUCUGCAGAUCAGAAACGCAGCAAUUCUGAGAGGUCACAUAGGUACAUUCACUCACUUUCAACCAAUAUUUCUUAAGACUGUGUUACGCUGUGCACAGGAGACAAGACACAGAAAUAGAUGACCCAUGAUUUGUCUUCUUUUUAUUUAAAAAAAAAAAAGAAGAAGAAGCUCUGUAUCUGUGAACAAGUCAGAUAGACACAGAUGAUUUCAGCAUAAUUAGGAGGAAUCACUGAGCUCAGCCCAGGGAGCUAGACUAGCUCAGAGGAGUACCUGAUUCACACUAGGAAGGUAUUGGCACAGGCUUCCUGGAAGUGGAGACACUGAAUGGAAUUCUAAAGGAUGUGAUACCUUCUACAUG